CGAGAGAAUGAUAGAAGAAAUAUCUUCUUCCUUUGUUCUUUCCGCCAUUAACACACUCAGAAUAAAAAAAAACAGAUCGAAAGUAAAGACGUUUCACCAAAAAAAAAUCUGGGUUUGGUUCAAAUUGAUUCAAAUCUGAUAAAUCUUAGCUAGGUAUUCUGUUAAUUAUGUGGAUCGACCUAAAAUCCGAACGAUAAAGAUGAUGAUGAAUAAGAUGGUUCAAAGUUAAUUAUGUUGAUGAUAAAUUUCGUUGAUUCAUCGACGAGGUGAAAGCCUCAUAUGAAGCUAAAGCAUAGGAAAUCUGAAUACGAAACACUCGUCUUAUAUAACAACAAAGUACAAGUGAUCGUACCUAUCCUACAUUCAUUUUUAUAUUACUUUGAAAAAGUGCAGUUACUUCUCAUAUAGUCUCCAUAGGUGUUAAGAAUUGCUUCAAGUAUUUCAGGGUCCCCUCUAAUGGUAAAUAUCACCUGAAAUGAAGAUAAAAAUUGUGCCAUAAUUAUUAUUCCUAUGGUCUGUCCGAUAUCCUGAUCUUACAAUCAAAGAGAUUAGGUCACAGCUCCAAAAGACAACAACCUAGCUAGUCGUCGCAUUAGAGUCUUGGACGGCAACAAUAGGCGCAAGGCCUGACAUAAGGCAACAUAAAUUUGGUGUGGUUGAUCAUUAAGAGUUUCAUAACCUUGUGAAUUGUUGUUUUAUAUUUGAAAGCAUCCAUUCUAGUUGUAUUUGGUGUUGAAGAUGCAAUUAGCUUGGUGUUAUCUUCUUUGCAAUUAGUUUGUAAAUUCAAAGUGAAUGCCGUCUUUGCAUUUUGAGUUAGAUAACAAUACAAUGUCUUAUUGUUCAACUUAGUCAAAUGAGUAAAUCUUGAAGAAUAUUUUGGUACUGAAA